rnacentral:rRNA from 1 species
AUACAGAGGGUGCGAGCGUUAAUCGGAAUUACUGGGCGUAAAGCGUACGUAGGUGGUUUAUCUAGUUGGCUGUGAAAUUCCCAGGCUUAACCUGGGUCGGUCAGCCAAUACUGAUAAACUAGAGACCAAGAGAGGAUAGUGGAAUUUCCGGUGUAGCGGUGAAAUGCAUAGAUAUCGGAAGGAACACCAGUGGCGAAGGUGGCUAUCUGGCUUGGUUCUGACACUGAGGUACGAAAGCGUGGGGAGCAAACAGGAUUAGAAACCCCGGUAGUCC